rnacentral:rRNA from 1 species
UACGUAGGGGGGCUAGCGUUGUCCGGAAUCAUUGGGCGUAAAGAGCGUGUAGGCGGCUCGGUAAGUCCGCUGUAAAAGUCAAAGGCUCAACCUUUGAAUGUCAGUGGAUACUGCCGGGCUAGAGUCCGGAAGAGGCGAGUGGAACUCCUGGUGUAGCGGUGGAAUGCGCAGAUAUCAGGAAGAACACCAACGGCGAAGGCAGCUCGCUGGGACGGUACUGACGCUGAGACGCGAAAGCGUGGGGAGCGAACAGG